CAGCUGUUGCCCUGAACACAUGGAUCUGGUACAAUGGUGUUCAGCGGCACAUCAACAUCCAACACCGAUGCUGGGGUUUAUGAUCCUUGCCCAGCAGCUGGUUCUGGCCUGGUGUCAUCCUGUGAAAGCCCUCAAAUAUUGGGUCUGACCUUCGCUGGGUGAAGAUAUCAGUUCUCCUCCUUUAUAACCUGGCUACCAAGUCACAACAAAGGCCAGCGUCAGAUUAAAUUUUACUUCACAUAACAAACAUGUAUUAUCAAGCCGGCAGAAGAGGCAUCACAAAACCUGUUUGGUAAUCUCAACAAAGCACAGUUCUGUAUCCUUUCAGGAGUUUUGGCAGGAACAUUUCAUGGACAGCUUAGAUGAAGCAAACAAUAAUAUUCUAAGGUAGAAUUCUGCUAACCAUCCAGCUGGAGUCAGGAGAACAAGAAUCCUCUGAAUCAGAGACCGCACCCAGAAUUGUUCAGGAAUGGAGCCCAGGUGAGAGGUGAGCACUUACUGGAUUCUUAUACCCUGUUCCUGUAAGGUGGAAAGCCUCUCUACAGUAUUUUAUUUAGUUCUCUUCUCUUGACUCACAUCACCAACAAAAAGUGUUUCUAACAUCCAGCAUGCUUAUGAUGAUGACGACAGUUGAAGAUAGAAAGGCUUUAGGGCCAGAAAACUGGCCAACUUUGGGAAGAGGGCCAGAGGGGAACAGAGAUGGGAUGGUCAGAGCCAUCUGACCUUGGACUUAACCUUGGUCAAUUUUGCCCUUGGUCUUAGUGAUGAUGUAAUCAUCCAAGAUGACAACCUGGUGCUUCCAGGGGUUUUUGAACUGAGAAGCAAGCCCUGCCCUGUCUGAUGGCAAAGUUAGGAACCUAGCUAGGAAGCUGGCAGCCAUGCUUCAUCCUUGAGAGGAAAGCUGCUUGAGGAGCACAAAGCUGCCCAGUGGCAAGCAAGAAAGAGGGAGGAGAAGUGCCCUGAGAACCUCCAGGUCCGGUUCUACUGAUAACUCAUGCCCAAACCUAUUCCUGCCCCUCUUAUUUGGAUUAUGUGUCCACAAAUUCGCUGUAUUGCCUAAGCUGGCCAAAGUUAAAUUUCUGUCAUUUUUUUAGACCAAACAUGCUUUAAACAAAGCACUAAACAAAGGUGGCAUAAUUAUAGAGCUUGAUAAAAUAAAAGAAACAGAAGCAACAAAAAACAUGGAGAUGUUGUAAUUCCCAGAAACAAAAUAACCAGGGGGGAUAAUAUUUGCAGUCCUGGAAGUCCACAUACACUUCAGGGUACAGGAAUAUAGACCUGAAAAAUAUGUUGCUGGAAUUUUAGCUCAGGAAGAUAAAUGUGACUCUGUGGUGUCACAAGCCUUGGAAGAGCUCCUUUCUCCUGAAAGGAAGGGGAAGAGAGGGUAACCAUGUGUGAAGAUGAGAACACCUGCAUGGGGGGCACCUGGGUGACUCAGCUGGCUAAGCAUCUGCCUUGGGCUCAGGUCAUGAUCCUGGGGUCCUGGGAUUGAGCCCCGGUUUGGGAAUCCUUGCUCAGUGGGGAGCCUGCUUCUCCCUCUCCCUCUGCCUGCUGCUCUGCCUACUUGUAUGCUUUCUCUCUCUGUCAAAUAAAUACAUAAAGUCUUAAAAAAAAAAAAAAAAAGAAGAAGAAGAAGAACACCUGCAUGGCAGUGUACCAAAUGAGGGUAGAGACAGUAAUGGAAAGGACCAGGAGAGAAAGGGAAAUGAGACUAUAGCAUCGUA
rnacentral:lncRNA from 1 species